AGAACGAACGCUGGCGGCAGGCCUAACACAUGCAAGUCGAGCGCCCAGCAAUGGGAGCGGCGCACGGGUGAGUAACACGUGGGAAUAUGCCCUUUGGUUCGGAAUAACGUAGGGAAACUUGCGCUAAUACCGAAUAAGCCCUUACGGGGAAAGAUUUAUCGCCAUUGGAGUAGCCCGCGUCCGAUUAGCUUGUUGGUGAGGUAACGGCUCACCAAGGCGAUGAUCGGUAGCUGGUUUGAGAGAACGACCAGCCACACUGGGACUGAGACACGGCCCAGACUCCUACGGGAGGCAGCAGUGGGGAAUCUUGGACAAUGGGGGAAACCCUGAUCCAGCCAUGCCGCGUGAGUGAUGAAGGCCCUAGGGUUGUAAAACUCUUUCGGCGGGGACGAUAAUGACGGUACCCGCAGAAGAAGCUCCGGCUAACUUCGUGCCAGCAGCCGC
rnacentral:rRNA from 1 species